GCCUUAAUUGUUUUGGGAUCUCUGGUGUUACCUAAAUAGUCGUUACACCAGUAUCUUUUUUGCCGUAGCUGACUGCAUUGUAGAUGUGUGAAUCCCAUUGCCAUAAUAGUGCUCCUUCUCCUGACCAAGCCGAUGCUUCAACCAGCUGUUACAACUGCUAGACUUAUCAUGCAGAGCGAUCAUCGGAUGGUGAGAGUACUGCAUGAGAAUCAUAAUCAAAAUACAAAUUAAGCAAAUGAAAUACCAAUAGGGAGAAAUAUAGUUUGCAGAAGAAUCAUAACCCCAUACCUCUUUUAUUUGUCAUCUUGUGAAUCAUACAACCUAAAUUUUGUGAACUUUAAGUGAGCUUGUGACACCUG
rnacentral:lncRNA from 1 species